rnacentral:rRNA from 1 species
GACGAACGCUGGCGGCGUGCCUAAUACAUGCAAGUCGAACGCAGUGGGGAUGGGUGAGUAACACGUGGGUAACCUCCCAUCAGAGGGGAUAACACUUGGAAACUGGUGCUAAACCGAUUCUGACGGAUGGACCAGCGGUGCAUUAGCUAGUUGGGGGGGUAACGGUUCACCAAGGCUCCGAUACGUAGCCGAACGGAGAGGGUGAUCAGCCACACUGGGACUGAGACCCGGCCCAGACUCCUACGGGAGGCAGCAGUAGGGAAUCUUCGGCAAUGGACGAAAGUCUGACCGAGCAACGCCGCGUGAGUGAAGAAGGUUUUCGGAUCGUAAAGCUCUGUUGUUAGAGAAGCGGUAUCUAACCAGAAAGCAACGGCUAACUACGUGCCAGCAGCCGCGGUAAUAC